ACGGCUCAGUAACACGUGGACAACGUGCCCUUAGGAGGAGGAUAAUCUCGGGAAAUUGAGAAUAAUACUCCAUAGGUCAUGGGAUCUGGAAUGACCCAUGGCCCAAAGUUCCGGCGCCUAAGGAUCGGUCUGCGGCCUAUCAGGUAGUAGUGGGUGUAACGUACCUACUAGCCUACGACGGGUAUGGGCCUUGAGAGAGGGAGCCCAGAGUUGGAUUCUGAGACACGAAUCCAGGCCCUACGGGGCGCAGCAGUCGCGAAAACUUCACAAUGGGGGCAACCCCGAUGAGGGAAUUCCUAGUGCUAGCACAUUAGUGUUAGCUUUUCUUUAGCGUAGAUAACUAGAGGAAUAAGGGCUGGGUAAGACGGGUGCCAGCCGCCGCGGUAAUACCUGCUGCCCAAGUGGUGGUCGAUAUUAUUGAGUCUAAAACGUUCGUAGCCGGUUUAAUAAAUCCUUGGGUAAAUCGGGAAGCUUAACUUUCCGAAUUCCGAGGAGACUGUUAAACUUGGGACCGGGAGAGGCUAGAGGUACUUCUGGGGUAGGGGUAAAAUCCUGUAAUCCUAGAAGGACCACCGGUGGCGAAGGCGUCUAGCUAGAACGGAUCCGACGGUGAGGGACGAAGCCCUGGGGCGCAAACGGGAUUAGAUACCCCGGUAGUCCAGGGUGUAAACGCUGCCGACUCGGUGUUGGAGGCCCUUUGGGGGCAUUCAGUGCCGGAGAGAAGUUGUUAAGUCUGCUACUUGGGGAGUACGUCCGCAAGGAUGAAACUUAAAGGAAUUGGCGGGGGAG
rnacentral:rRNA from 1 species